UCCGAGUUGACCCCGGCAGUCUCCCAUGAGUCCCCGGCAUUACCCGCUGGCAACAUGAGGAAGGGGUUGCGCUCGUUGCGCCACUUAAGGCAACACCUCACGGCACGAGCUGACGACGGCCAUGCAGCACCUGUGCGGGCUCCCGUAGGAGGACCGUGUUUCCACGGCUUCACCCCGCAUGUCAAGCCUAGGUAAGGUUCUUCGCGUUGCAUCGAAUUAAGCCACAUGCUCCGCCGCUUGUGCGGGUCCCCGUCAAUUCCUUUGAGUUUUAGCCUUGCGGCCGUACUCCCCAGGCGGAGUGCUUAAUGCGUUAGCUGCGGCACGGAGAGGGUUGAAGACCUCCCCACACCUAGCACUCAACGUUUACGGCUGGGACUAC
rnacentral:misc_RNA from 1 species